UMGAACGCGUUGGCCCAAUUGAUUGAUGRUGCUUGCACCUGAUUGAUUUUGGUCGCCAACGAGUGGCGGACGGGUGAGUAACACGUAGGUAACCUGCCCAGAAGCGGGGGACAACAUUUGGAAACAGAUGCUAAUACCGCAUAACAACGUUGUUCGCAUGAACAACGCUUAAAAGAUGGCUUCUCGCUAUCACUUCUGGAUGGACCUGCGGUGCAUUAGCUUGUUGGUGGGGUAAYGGCCUACCAAGGCGAUGAUGCAUAGCCGAGUUGAGAGACUGAUCGGCCACAAUGGGACUGAGACACGGCCCAUACUCCUACGGGAGGCAGCAGUAGGGAAUCUUCCACAAUGGGCGCAAGCCUGAUGGAGCAACACCGCGUGAGUGAAGAAGGGUUUCGGCUCGUAAAGCUCUGUUGUUAAAGAAGAACACGUAUGAGAGUAACUGUUCAUACGUUGACGGUAUUUAACCAGAAAGUCACGGCUAACUACGUGCCAGCMGCCGCGGUAAU
rnacentral:rRNA from 2 species